rnacentral:misc_RNA from 1 species
AAGGAAGAGCCCAAGCGUGAGGAGAUUUUGGCUGUUGUUAUGGUAAGUGAUGAAUGAUAGCGAUAAUGUUUGUAGUUUGAUUUUGCGGCUAUUCAGUUGUGUUUUGUAUUAAUUCUGUUUAUGGUGUUUGACUUUUCAUGUAUAUAAAGAAAAUUAAAAGGGAGAGUGACUAUUUACAGGUUUCUGUUAGUGUUGGCGUGACGAAUUUGGUGGGUUGUUGGUUUGGGGCCAUGCCCGUGUGCUCAAGUUUGCAGAAAUUUCUUUGGCUACGGCAUCUAUAGACAAGAAAGGAGAGGGAGAGGAACAAGAGAAGAGAGAGAAACAAAGAGAGAGUGUUGUAGAUGCAUUUGUGAGCAGGUUUACUUGUUUGGAAUUUCAAAUUGCACUAAAUCCAUUUCAGUUGGGGGCUGUUUCAAAAAUCAAGGGACCAGACCAUAAUCUUCAUCUGCAACUUUGAUUUUAGAUUUUUAAUUCAAGUUUCAAAAAAAAUUAGUUAUGAUGUAAUAUUUUUUUAGAAGUCUUGUUCUUUUAUUCGGCUGUAGCCUCUCUAUAAAGGGCAUCGAUUAUGAUUAAUAAAAUAAGUAGCAUUUUAUCCAAAAAGUAUCUAUGAGAUUGGAGGGUUCUCUCCAACAAGCAACUACUCAAUUUUCACUGCAACACACACAGGAAUCUUAGAAAAGGGAAAAUGAUUCCGAAGAA